ACUGACAUCAAAACAAAAAUUUGAUGACAAAGUAGUAAUAAUUACUAUAAAAUGUCCUUCUAUCAUUGAAAAGGAUGAUUAUGCAUAUAUCCAAGUUUUAAAUUCAUUGUUACAUAGAAGCCAUACAUUUGAAGCCGUACAUUUGAACCUAACACUGGUUGAAAGAAAAUUCUGUGAUGCAGAAACCAAAAUCAGUAUUCCAAAUAUAAACUCCAACUUUGGCCAGGUUUUGAAACUUCUCUUGGAAAUUAUGAUGGUGGUUUGUUCUUAAAAUCAGAAAUUUACACUAAAAACAUAAGAGAAGAAAGGGUUUUAGAUUUUUUCAAAGAAUGUAAAGAGAAUGAAGGGAAAACUCUCAUUGGAUGAAAUAUGGAAUAAACCUUAGCAGUUAUUGUCAGCCAAUAUUGAUAUCACAAAAAGAACGAAUCUUUUAUUAAUGAAGGUGAUAAAUCCAAGCCUGUGUACUUAGUUCCUGAAUUAAGUACUUUUACUGGAACAACAGAUGCGAUGAAAAAAAAUCAUCUCAUGGCUGAUUUGGAAACGCAUAGAAGAGUUGGUUCCAGUGAAAGAAUUGGCAGAUAAAAUAGUCUUAUAAAUCGGAUUCUAACUACACCAAAGUCUGUAGAAUCAUUAAAACAAUGGAAUUUAACAUUGAGUAAUAAACUCUUUACAAUUCCUGGUCGUGUAUUACCACAACAAUCACUUCACGGAUAAAAUUACAAAUUUCCAGCUGGUAAUGAAGCUAAUUGGGCAGUACACUUAUGGAAAUUACCCAUGUACUUGUGCUAAAAUAUAACAUUGGGUAGUACUAGGUCCAGAAGCAAAUGUUGCUGAAGUUAGACAAUUUACCAAUACUCUACUUCAGAUAGCAAAAGGCUUGUCAUUUAAUUUACCACAACCAGAAAUAGUUGAUCUAAAAGAUACGAGUGCGAGUAUGUAUUCAACUACUUUGGAUCAAGUAAUAAAUCAAAUGGAUCCAUAAUUUAUAUUAUGCGUCAUUCCGAUAUUGCCUAGUGAACAUUACAGUCUCAUUAAAAUACAACUAUGUAUUAAUAGACCAGUUCCAUCUCAAAUAGUGUUAUUGAAACAAAUGAAAAAAAAAAAGAUAUUCAUGUAUGCCAAUAUAUCCAUAAAAAUAAUUAUAAACUAAAUGGAGCACCAUGGCCUGUUGUCAUCCCUAAAAAGAAUAUGAUGAUAGUUGAAUUUGACGUCUGUCACGGAAAGCAAAAUAAAACUUAUGGUGCACAUAUAGCCACAAUGAAUGAUACCCAUACUACUUACAUCAGCUGUCUACAAAAAUAUGAAAGCAGACAGGAACUUUCAAACAAUUUUGCAAUGAGUA